rnacentral:rRNA from 1 species
AUAUAAUGAUUCGUAGUGACCUGCGGAGGUCAUUACCAAAAGAUAAUCUUUCACUCGAAAGAUCUUUUCCUUUGUGCUGGCUUUGACCGUAUGUAAUUUUGGGACUUAAACAUGGUAGCCUUACGGUUGCCGGUCCCAAAAACAAUAUAUCAUCCUUAUAAAAACUUACUGAACAACUAAACAAUGAUUUAAUAAUCUGUUUAAAACAACUUUCAACAACGGAUCUCUUGGUUCUCGCAUCGAUGAAGAACGCAGCGAAAUGCGAUACGUAAUGUGAAUUGCAGAAUUCAGUGAAUCAUCGAAUCUUUGAACGCACAUUGCACUCCUUGGUAUUCCGAGGAGUAUGCCUGUUUCAGUAUCAUGAGCACUCUCACACCUAACCUUUGGGCUAAGAUGUGGAAUUGGGAUGCGCCGAUUUUUAUUAGUCGGCACUCCUAAAAUGUAGCUCUUGGCUGUUUCCUACUACAGCAGUUUGGCCUAAUAGUUUUGACUUUUGUCAAAUCUUUGGCUACAUUUGCUUCUGGAAAUCAGUCUUGAUAAUACAGAAAACUCAUUUCAAACUUUGAUCUGAAAUCAGGUAGGGCUACCCGCUGAACUUAAGCAUAUCAAAAGCCGGAGGGA